rnacentral:rRNA from 1 species
CCUACGGGAGGCAGCAGUGGGGAAUAUUGCACAAUGGGGGAAACCCUGAUGCAGCGACGCCGCGUGAGUGAAGAAGUAAUUCGGUAUGUAAAGCCCUAUCAGCAGGGAAGAAAAUGACGGUACCUGAGUAAGCAGCCCCGGCUAACUACGUGCCAGCAGCCGCGGUAAUACGUAGGGGGCAAGCGUUAUCCGGAUUUAAUGGGUGUAAAGGGAGCGUAGUCGGCAGUGCAAGUCUGGAGUGAAAGGCGGGGGCUCAACCCCCGGACUGCUGUGGAAACUGUACGGCUGGAGUGCAGGAGAGGAAAGUGGAAUUCCUAGUGUAGCGGUGAAAUGCGUAGAUAUUAGGAGGAACACCAGUGGCGAAGGCGGCUUACUGGACUGUAACUGACGUUGAGGCUCGAAAGCGUGGGGAGCAAACAGGAUUAGAUACCCUUGUAGUC